UAAAAAGGGAGAUGAGGCCUGUUUUGCUCUUCUAGUCUAGGCUAGAUGGGAUACAGUUGAAAGGGUCUAGCUUUGAUGGAGCUGAGUAAAGGCUGCAGCUGGCCUGAAUGAUCAGUACAGAGCCCAGAAGGAGAGCUGUGGCAUUUCUGACCUAAGAAGGGAAAAACCUUUGCAAGUUAACAGUGCAGAUCCUAGGAGGAGGGUUGUGGGAUCCUGGGAACAAGGACUGGACUGGAGGAGUGAAGGAGCAGUUUGAUUUGCUGUUAGAGACUUAAUAAAUAAAAUCUUACAAAGCAGAAAUUUAGUUUACAGCAUUCUGGUCUGUGAGUGACUUCUUACAAGGGCCCCAGAGACAGUUAAAGCCAGUACCUGAAGGGCCAUGUUGUACCACAAGGGGAUGCUCUGAAAGGACUGUCUUACACAUAUGGUAUAUGGGGCUCUGAAGAACAGCGCCCAUGACGCAAACAUCCCACUCUAUGCACCCUGUUCCAGUACGAGCUGUGCUGACGAUGCGUCAGUCACUGUAGUAAGCAUGAGUUAGCACAUGGAGUGCGAACAGAGUACAGCUCGCAUCUGAGAAUGUGAAAAUACAUUUCCUUUUUGUCCCCAGAAGCAAACUGCCUGGGAAAUCAGCAUUCCAUGAAGUGAAUGAACAAACAGCUUAUAGAAGGACGGAAUCUGUUUAUCAUCAGAACACUGGGCUCUCUGUUUUUAUUUAUAGCAUGUUACCAACUAAAGUUCCUUUUUGCUUAGCUACUGCGUGAAUGAAGACAGCUUUUUAAUAUUAGUAAAUAAAAGCUCUAUACAUAAAAAUUUGCCACA